rnacentral:misc_RNA from 1 species
UUAACUAUUGUAUAGUACUCAGACGACACUGACAUUCAGAGUUUAGGGGCCUUUGGCGGGCGCGCGCCAGCCGGGGCCGGCGGCCGAGCAGGGCCCGGCGGCCCGCCAAAGCAACGACAGUAGCAAUAACAGUGGGUGGGAGAUCUACCCGGUAGGGCGAGAACUCUGUAAUGAUCCCUCCGCAGGUUCACCUACGGAGA